GUUGGUUAUUGCGAAGUGCCGUGGCUGCCGGCGGGCGCUGCGGGACUCUCUGCAAUGGGACCCGAGCAGCUCUAGAGGGAGGCGGCGGCCCCAGAAGGCCGUUGGCUGAGAGAGACCAGGAGCCCUCGGAGCCGCCGCGCGCAUAGCGCUGUGGAGCAAGAAGCCAACCGCAGCGCGGGUCGACACGCCAGUAUCUGGCACCGGCAGGAGGCGCGGAACUUAGCUGCCCCAUCGGAACCCCGCCCGGAGGAAGCUGAGGGCCGAGAAAGGAUGAAUUCCGGACCGGGUCGCCCAGCCACAAGUGGAAACCUGGGCUCUCUGGAAAACGUUCUGAUCUCGAUCUGGCUAUCUCUGAAACAAAACUCCAGCCCCGCAAACCUCCCAAAGUUCAGUACACGUCCCCGUCCUCACCCCUGCCCUCCGGGCCACCUGCAGCGGGGGACUUACCGGCGCCUCGGGUCUCCUCCUCCCGACCCAGCGCGUCGCGGACACAGCUGGCGGCCAACAGGAGGCUUGGGCGCUCGACGGCGCCGGAACCUGUGAGACCGUCGCUCUGGGCGGGCUGCCGUGCGGGGUGGCAUCCUCUGCGGUGACUUCUGCUGUCUUUUGGGUCCGCCAGGAUUCCAAAAUCCCAGGCGGGUCGCUAGAAUUAUCCAUCUUCGUGGACAGGAAGCCCCAGAACGAACCACAUCUGUCCCACUCUGCUUCCGCCCUCCUUCCCCUUCGCAAGCUCCUGGCUGGGAUGGAGACAUCGGACGAGCUCGGAGAUCCCGACCUCUCAGGGGUCACUCGCAGCCGAACAGCCUGGAAUAUGGCCUUGUGGGCCCUUCCCGCCCAACCCCCUAGGACCCCACUGCUCAUCUUGUCAACCAGUUUCUGAGCCCCUACCCUGGCUGCAGCACGUGCUCGCACAGGCGCGCUGAGCUACUAACAUAGAAUCAAAAGCAGGGAGUUGGGUGUUCUUGCUUUCCCGCUGAAACCUAGAAUGUAAACAAGCCCUAGACCGUCAGCUGUGGGUGGGUAGGGGCCUCUCCCUGCCUAGAACUGCUCUUGCCAUGGGUAGGCACCUAACCCGUAUUAGUAAGAAUGAAGGAAUGCAUGCUCAUAACAAGAAAGGGGUCAACCUGCUGCCCUGAUACUCACCUUCACCACUUACGUCUUGCUUCCAGCGCAAGCCCACUUCAGACCAUUGCCUCAUUCAGGUCCCAGAAGUCCUAAGGGUUUUAGUCUCUCAGUAUGGGCAAUUAUUCACAUGUAAGGGAGCUGCAAGGUGUUAUUUCAAUGCCAUCUGGCCUCUAUAAGGUCUUGCAUCAUAGCUGACCUCUCAUGAGAAGGUUCUGAUGAGGUCACCAGGGAGAAGGAAUGUAAAGGGCUGGUGGCUGAAAAGGAGUGAAAUGGCCCCUCUUAGCUGAGGCAACUGAGACUGAAACAGGCAAAGUGGUUUGUCCAAGAGCAAAGCCAGGGGCAGGGAAGUUUGAAAGAAAGAAAAAUAUGCCAAGAUGAUUAAGUUUCACCUAAGAUUUUAAAGCUCCCACCUAAAAGAUGUGGAAAACAAGCACUAUACCAGGAUAUUGUACCUUAUUUCUGCCCUGUCUUAAAAACACCAUGACAUUUUCCUUGAUUUCAAGAAUACAGAAAAUGAACAUGGUCCUUUAAAUUAUGUGACUCUUUCGAAGCAAAAUGACAACAAGGAAAAACCACAUUUGUUUUCUGCCUCCCUUUUUCAAG
rnacentral:lncRNA from 10 species